AUUGAAGACAUGAGUGAGAGAAUCAUCAGCUUUCGUGAGAACUGCCAGAAAGGAGAAAGGAUGCCAUGGAAGAUCAUCUGCCCCUCCUCUGGAACAGGCGGUAGCAGCAUAAACUCGUGAUGUGACUGUAAACAAUACGGAAAUGAAGCAGUCUAAGAGGGAAGCGCCGUUCUCUCCUCUAACUGAUCUCUCACUACAAAGCUCAAAGUGUUCCCGAUAAGAAGUAGACUGCAUUUCUGAUACUUGUCAAUUGUUUAAGAGAAGAAAAUUGGAAUUGUACAGAGGACUGAGGUGGAGAAAAGACAGAGUCUAACGUCAUAUUUGGAUCCUUCAUUUAUUCCUCAACUCAGCCAUCACUACUGUCUUAUUUCAUUCUCAUGCUGCUAUGAAGAAAUACUGAGGUGGGGUAAUUUAUAAUGGAAAGACACUUAAUUGGAUCACAGUUCCACAGGGCUGAGGAGGCCUCAGGAAACAUACAAUCAUGGAGGAAGGGGAAGAAAACACAUCCUACUUCACAUGGUGGCAAGAAGAAGAAGUGUUGAGCCAACAGGGGAAAAGCCCUUUUCUCAUCAGAUCUCAUGAGAACUCAUACACUAUCACGAGGACAGCAGCAUGGGGAUAACUACCCCCAUGAUUCAAUUACUCCCACCAGAUCCCUCCCAUGACACAUGGGUUUUAUGGGAGCUACAAUUCAAGAUGAGAUUUGGGUGGGGACACAGCCAAACCACAUCAACUUACUGAAUACUUUCUGUGUAUGUCUAAUAAUUUUGAUAUAGUUCUACUGUCUUUCCCCUGAUGGCUUUGCUUAGGGAUGUUUAUAAAUGAAAUUACUCAUCCUGUCACCAAAUUGUGAUCAAAGAUGAACAGAUCUGACUCAUUGUGGUGGUGAUGAUAAUAAUAAUCCAAAUUCUAUCCCCUCUGUUGUCAGUUUAAUCCUACCAUAACAUGGUGACCUGGGGAUUAAGCCUGACUAGCCACAGGGCUAACACAGGGGAAUAAUUCAUGAGAAUGACAAUUCAGACUCAGCCAAGGUUGCAUUUUUAUCAGUUCAUUGUUGAACCAUCAAUCAAAUGAGACCAAAGGUAACCACAAUACCGAGGAUACACAGAAGCUCACAUUGGGAUUAAUCUUCUGGUCCUUCUGAUCUCACAGGGACAGCUCUAAGUUAUGUUAUUUCAAUAGCCCUCUUAGAAUAACAUGGGAAGAUCCUAAAAUUGCUGCCUUGAGGUAGGGGAGGAACUCCACGUCAGUCUUUCAGAGUUCAUGCCAGUAACACAUUAAUAACAACAACAACAAAAAAAAACGUGCACUGAAGCUUCAUACUUUAAAUGCCAUUUGUUGUUGAAUCAUCGAGUCUACUUAAAUUUUUCUUCUAACAGAUCACAGACUACCAUGGUAGAUUUACUCUUAUAAUUCAUUUAAUAAAGAGACUUAAUUCAAAGAUUUAUGAAAAUAAUAACAACAAAAAUUGUUUAAAGUUUAUUUUUCUUCACCAACUGCUGUCCUGAGACAUGUUGCAUAGGUUCUCCCUCCAUUCCCUGUUGAAGGUAUUUUAGACAUAGCCCAUAGGUUUCCCAAUCACUUUUUAGUCAUAAGAACACAGGUCAUUUUAGAAAUGAAAACACUCUGGAUUCAGGAAUAUCCAAGAUUUCAAUCUUCAAUCUAGUUCACAAUAUCUCCUUUUCCCCAAGUUAAGGAAUAUAAGGUGGAGAAAUAAAAUAGUUGUACCUUCAGUAUUUAUUUUUCAUGUAUAUCUGCCUCCAUACUUCAUGCAGCAGGUGGGUGGGGCAGGAGGAGGUGCAAAGAUUAGAGAAGAGGGAAAUGAAUUCUACUGAGCUGGUUCUGUCUGUGGUGUUCUCUUGCCCAACAGUACCUAGUCAGCAUACUCUCUGUGGGGCAGGAGUUCUAACAUUAAAUUUUGAGUGUACACAGCUGUAGCUUCCUUAGAACUAUUUCUGUCCCUUGCUCUGUCAUGGACACCUUUGCACUGGUCAGCUCUGUGGGGACAGGAAAUGCACCCUUCAGACAAUUUUCUCAUCUCCCCAGGUAGCCCUAUGGGAAGAAUCCAUUCAGAGUGAUGUCAGAGACCGUGUUAUAAUUCCAGUUCUGCACCCCAUUGUUUUCCUUCCCUAUGCUACAACACUUAGCAGCAUCUACUCACUUUGGGGUAUACUUCCUGCCUCUUGACUUUGGAUUUGUCUAUUUGACUUACUCUGACCAAUAGAAUAAAGAUGAAAUGAUAUUAUACCCAUGUUAGCAAAAGCCUCGGCAGGAUUUUCAUGUUUGUUUCUUCUUUUGUUCUCUGUCAUUACCAGGAGAAGAAUAUCCUCAGCCUAGACUGUAGUUAUGAAAAAGGUGAUGACAAACACGAAGCAGUGCCACCAGCCACACCCAGCCUAGAUGACCAGGUACUAGCUUGCACAGGCAGACCUAUGAGUGGGCCUAGCAGGGACCAGCAGGGAAGCCAGCCUGGGCCUGUCCUGUGUUAUCUGAAUCCUAUCCAACCUUCCAUCUCAUGAGCCAAACAGAUACUCCUCAUUGUAUAGCACAGAGAUUAUGUGGAUGUGUGCUUAGGACAGUACUAUGGUGCAGUUAUUAACUGACACGAUUAAUUACCUUUGUGUCAUAAUUCACCUACCUGAAAUCCCUGCACUUUUAUUAUGUCAAAUAUGGAAAGCAUUUGCUGCUGCUAUGCUUCUUGUCCUGACUUUAUAAAUUACUUCCCACAUCCAUUCUGUCCUUUCUUAUAUGGGAGGUUGGCAAACAUUUUCUGUAAAGGGCCUGCUAAUACAUUUCUUACAGAUUGUAUGCUGUCUGCCUCCAUUUAUCUAUGCUAUUAUAAUGUGAAAGCAGCCGUAGAAAACAAAACAAUAAAUGGUGAGAUGUGGGUAUGUUUCAGUAAAAUUUUAUUUAUAAAAGCAGACAAUAGACUGGGUUUGGACCAUGGGUCAUAGUUUGUUAACCCAGCUUUAUGGUAACAAAAUCUGUUACCAUGGUAGCAAUGGGCAUAUGACUGCUUUGCUGAAACAUUAUCAUAUUCCUGCCUACUUUCCAGAUACAUGGCAAAAUAUCCAGUCAAUUUACUGUCAUAAAAAUAUUAUUUAAUAUCCUUAAGUCCCUGGCACAUCUCUGGCCCUUCUCCCACCUUUUCCCCUGGUAGAACUUGUACCAAAAGGAGAGAAGAUGCCUACACCUAGAGGAGUAAGCUCAAAAGAGCCAGGGUCUCUGACAAGUUCAUGAACUCACAACCAGUUUGGUCUGCAUAGUUAUGUCCUUCUUUUACAUUAAGUAUUUUUUCUUUUUUUUAAAUCCAUCUAAAUUAAGACUUGUC
rnacentral:lncRNA from 10 species